GGCGGCGUAGCUCAGAUGGUUAGAGCACACGGCUCAUACCCGUGUUGUCAAAGGUUCAAUUCCUUUCGCCGCUACCA
rnacentral:tRNA from 1 species